rnacentral:rRNA from 1 species
AGCAGUCGCCGCGGUAAUACGGAGGAUCCAAGCGUUAUCCGGAAUCAUUGGGUUUAAAGGGUCCGUAGGCAGUCUUGUAAGUCAGUGGUGAAAGCCCAUCGCUCAACGGUGGAACGGCCAUUGAUACUGCAGGACUUGAAUUAUUGGGAAGUAACUAGAAUAUGUAGUGUAGCGGUGAAAUGCUUAGAGAUUACAUGGAAUACCAAUUGCGAAGGCAGGUUACUACCAAUUGAUUGACGCUGAUGGACGAAAGCGUGGGUAGCGAACAGGAUUAGAUACCCCAGUAGUCCCUGUCUCUUAUAC